UCUAGAUUAGCCACUCGACACUUUCGGCCAUCUGCCCAGGCAUGGGGUAUCUCACACCACAAGCCAAUGCCAUCCAAAAAAACUCCAAUGUAAUCCCUUAAGGGUCGUUUGGUGGUAACAAGACACGCGAGACAAAACACGCCUAUUUAAUCAUUUUUGUUAUCAAAUCCAUAAUACAAGAUGGACAGAACCGACGAUUGAACAGGAAUACUCCUGUUUUACACUGUUCCGAGCUCACCCUCAAACAGCGUAGACAGGACACCAUUCCCCACCCGAGCUCCCGAGCUGCCCUCGCGUCCCCCUCACCCCCGUCUCUUCCCCUUCUCUCUUAUGAGUCUCCCCCUCGCCUCCACCUCUCCCCCUUCUCUCUUCUCUCUUCGGAGUCUCCCCCUUGCUCCCAUCUCUUCCCCUUCUCUCUUGUGAGUCUCCCCCGCCCUUGUCUCUCCCCCUUCUCUCUUCCUAGCCUCCCCCAGAAAAACACUUGGGGAAAGUAGAGAAAAUGGAAUAAACGCAUCAGACGUGGGAUAAUAGUCCUCGGCGAUUUUGGAAAUGCUUUUCUUGCCCAUCAAGGCUGCUUACUUCUUCAUCGUGGACUCUCACCCCACCGCUUAGUCCUUCCGUCGACGACGACCCUGCGUGGCUGCAUCAGAAGGUGCUGCCAAGGAGGUCGCCAUGACCUCCAUUGCUGCUGAAGAUGUUGCUUCAGAAACUUUUGUUGCUGCAAGGUGCGCGCACUCCCUAAUCUCCUCUCCCCCUUUCUGUAGCGCGCCGCGUUUGGGGCAUCGGGUCGGGUCGAGAUCCGGAUCCGAACCCAAGCUCGUGAGGAGCCCGACGCGAGGGCCCUUCUCCCUCGCGUCUCCCUUUUCUUCCUCGUCGCCUUCUUGCUUCCGUGUCGCCCGUGUGAGACCAGCAAGAGGACGAGGGAGCAGUGGCGACGCUUGAGCCGGCGGAGGAAGGAACGGCGGCGGCAGCGGCGGCGUCGGUGUCGGCAGUUGGCUUGAGGAUUUGUCCUCCCCCUCGUAACAGCAGUUAGAGGAGGCCUUGGUAGUGGAGGCAUUGGAGGAUUUUAGCCGUUUGGGGACCACUUGGGCGCGUGAGGUGGCUGUCGGGAGGAUUACAGCAGUUUAGACCUUCAAUCGGGGUACACCGGGUACGUCCCGUUGACCUUGAGCUACCGGAUUCGAAGCUCGAGGCAUUUUGAAGAUUCUUGUGAACGCGCCACAGGUUUUGGCGGACCCGGGGCAACAGGUUGAGCAGAUGGCUUCACUCACGUCCUACUGGGGUGGUUUUGGGAUUGUCGUUUGUAGUGCCGGCGUGUCAUGUUUUGGUUUUAUUGAUGUCUUCUUUUUGUUAGGCAUCAAUGUUAGUGAUUUUGGGGCAUUUUGGUUAUACACAUAGAUGUGAAUUUGUAUGAAACAAAAUGGUUAUAUCAAUGAAAGUUCGCCCCAUUGUUUUGAA